rnacentral:rRNA from 1 species
AGAGUUUGAUCCUGGCUCAGAUUGAACGCUGGCGGCAUGCCUAACACAUGCAAGUCGAACGGUAGCAGGAGCUAGCUUGCUAGCUUGCUGACGAGUGGCGGACGGGUGAGUAAUACGUAGGAAUCUGCCUUGCAGCGGGGGAUAGCCCGGGGAAACUCGGAUUAAUACCGCAUACGCUCUACGGAGGAAAGUGGGCCUCUUCUUGAAAGCUCACACUGCAAGAUGAGCCUACGUCCGAUUAGCUAGUUGGUGGGGUAAAAGCCUACCAAGGCGACGAUCGGUAGCUGGUCUGAGAGGAUGAUCAGCCACACCGGGACUGAGACACGGCCCGGACUCCUACGGGAGGCAGCAGUGGGGAAUAUUGGACAAUGGGCGCAAGCCUGAUCCAGCAAUGCCGCGUGUGUGAAGAAGGCCUGCGGGUUGUAAAGCACUUUUAUCAGGAAAGAAACGGCCUGGGUUAAUACCCCAUGGCAAUUGACGGUACCUGUUGAAUAAGCACCGGCUAACUCCGUGCCAGCAGCCGCGGUAAUACGGAGGGUGCAAGCGUUAAUCGGAAUUACUGGGCGUAAAGCGUGCGUAGGCGGCCGCGUAAGUCGGAUGUGAAAGCCCCGGGCUUAACCUGGGAAUUGCAUUCGAUACUGCGUGGCUAGAGUUUGGUAGAGGUAAGUGGAAUUCCA